GCAGGGGAAAAGGCUGGGCGAAAAAACGCAAGUGGAGCUUUGAAAAGGAGAGGCUCCAAAUGCAAUGCUUGGCAUUUUCUAAUAGCUCCGGGUGUUGUGAGUGCGGACUUGAAGCUAGAGGGAUAGAUAGAAGUUCAGUCCUGACUCUGUCACUUAUAUGUGGGCCUUGUCUCUCCUUCAGAUGACUCAGCUGCAAAAUAGCGAUGAUUUAUGCUCUCUUCCUCGGGCCUAUUGUGAGGAUGGAAAGAGCUAAUACUGCUGAAAUGCCUAAAACAGUGAUUAUUCUUAUCAUGUGAGGGUUCCCAGAUUUCCAGAUAGGGUUUCUCUUUGCCCUCCUGGGAAAUCAUUGGUGGGACACUGUGAGAAGAGUCCAGGUGUGUGGGCCCUGAGGCUUCUGCCACUGAGGGCAGGUGGGCAACCUCUCUGAGGGGCCCCUGGACCCACCUAGAUCCCAGAAGGGGCAGGAGGUUUGUGGAGGAUGGCCUCUUGGACAGUUAAGACACUGUUGGGUGUUGGGGCAUCCCUGCCGGCCAGGCAGGGACAGAGCCUUGGAAGGAGAAUUGGUCUAGUGCCUGGCCAUUUGAGUCAAGACCGCUGGUUACCCGAUCACUGUGGGAGAAAAGGAACUGUGGCCUGUUGAGGACUUUUAAAGGAGUGUUGUGUAGAUUAAGUGAGAAAUGGGCUUGUAAUGCAAGCAAAUGUCUGAAGAGUAAUGGUGAAGGAAAAACACAUACCAUCCCUGCUAGGGUAGAGGAAGGAAGGGUAUGUCUGGGCUUUGGUUGCUUGGAUGUUGGGGAACUGCUCCUCCAUGGAAAAAUGAACCCUUCCAGUUGGUGCCUUGAGGCAGAAGCAAGCCUUGAGCUUGAGGAAGUCCUCAAGUACUCCAGUACUGCCCUGGGUCCUCUGGCUCUGGGAUGGGCAAGUCGUGGACUGCUCAGGCACUUGUCUGAAGCUCAGGGUGGGAAAAGCCACUGGGCUUGGGCCUAUAGGACCCUGGGGCUGACAGGUGCAAGAGGCACUGUAGGUCUGGCUGGCACCAAGGAUCUAAGGAGGAGGAAGUGUCAGGGUCAGAAAGCAUCCAGUUUCCUGUCCCAGGCUCCUGGCUCCUGGCUCUGGGAGGCACGGAGAGAAGGGGAGCGUAUCCGAACCAGAAUUCCAGAAGCUGCAGGUUCUCCCUGCAGGAGAGACAGUUCUGUGAUGCCCACUGCAGGAAAAACCCAGAGGGAAAGAGGAUCAAACGCCGAGCACUCCCAUUGAAUGCAAAGCUGGGGGCGGGGCGGGGAGACUGGAGUCCCUCCGAGGACUUGGCCCCAAGGAGGUGAGCGCAGCGGGAGAGGCUGUGAGAAGGCGGCAGGCUCACAGGGGGGGCAGAGGGUGGGCGAGACCCAGGCCCGGGGCUGGAAGGGCCCAACGGAGGCAGCUCGAACACAGGCGCCGCGGGCUCGACUUUGACAGGAAGGAGAGAGCGAGCCAGGUGCUCCCUCAGGCUCUGGCUGCUGGCUGGGCAGGGCAGGGCACACGACAGAAUCCGAAGACGACUCUGCAACGCGGCAAAAGGCUCUAGGAUUUGAUCCCCACUCCCAGUCGCUCCUCUCACCUUUAGAAUAUUCCCUGGGAGUUUUAAUCUAGCAGUGCUCAGCAGAUGGUUGCUUCAGGAGUCCCAGGGAGUGGAGAUGUUUAGGCCAACACUACCUUACCUUUCGGAUCCCCCUACCUUCUCCAACCCCCCCCCCCGCCCCCAACCCCAGCUGAGGUGAAUGAGCAUCUUCUUACUGAACAGGGGAAGUAGAAAGCAGGGGUGAGAAGGGAACUUUGUCUUGCUUGAAUGCUUUGCUGUCUCCACCACCUCCACAAGCCCACAGAGAGAAAGACAGAGGCAGGGGAAAGAGGGAGACGAGUUGAGAAAGAGAAUACGGAGGAAAGCAAAAUAGGAAGACAAAAAAAAAAUAAUAAAAGAUAGUGAUAACACUUUUCUUUAGAAUCU
ensembl:lncRNA